UUCUGCUUUCAACGAGUUAGUUUGAGAUUUUUUACUUGAACUACUAAGUUGAAAUGUAUUUUUUCAGGUGCUAGCAGAGUUUUACAUUGCUGAUAAUUUCUACUUCCAGAAUCACCUAGGCCUGCUAUGGUGUUUUGAGAUUUGUCAUGAAAACUGGUACCAAGGGUUUCAAGGUUAUUUUGUAUGGAACUUGCGGAAGCUCGUGCAAAGUAAAUGAAGUUUAAAGAUGGAUACAUGAUUUCUUUUGGUCAGCCUGUUAACUAGUACAUCGACUCAGCCAUUGGACACGUCUUUCUUAGGCAGAUGAAGGAGCCAAAGGAAGAGAAGCCUGUGAUGAUGAGGCGCCUGAGAUAAUGCUACGGGAAGCAAUUGGAUGGCUUAUAUUUCCGCGCUUUCGGGAUACCCAUUCGACACGAUAGAGGACCUAGAGGUGUGAUCGCGACCUAGGUUCAACGGGAUCAGCUAUUACUUCUACUACUACAGCUUUGUCAAGAGGAGGUCAUGGAAGAGCAGCACUUAAUACCAGUUUAGGUGAGCUAAGGUGAUCCAGUUUCUCUUGGAGUAGCUUCAUAGUAUUUUUUUUAAUGU